rnacentral:lncRNA from 1 species
AAGAAAACUGCCGGACAAAAUCAUUGGAAGAAUAAGAAUAAUAAUAGUAAAGAAACAGAGGAAAAGCAAUAUGUCACCCGACAUUGUCGAUCGGGUGACAUAACUAGAUUUGUAAUUGCUAGCAAUAACGGAUGGCACCCUCGUCCCCCCAUUGCCAGGCGAGCGGCAGCCAUUUUGAAAAUUCCAAAGUCAAAGAGUGCAUCUACACAUGCAAGUUAUCAUUUUUGCAAAAUUUCAUUAAGUUUGGAGCAUUUUGAAAUUUUGGACAAUUUUGC